rnacentral:lncRNA from 1 species
GCAAAACAUACCAUGCCAUAUAUGUACCAGAUUUUCUUUAUCCAAUCCACCCCGAUGGGCAUCUAAGAGUAUUCCAAGGCACUGGAGAAAGAAGCAGCAAAAAUACAGAAGAAGUCUGUGUUCCUGAAGAACAAUGUGGAACUGAGCUACCUUUUCUGCCAGAAACACACUCAUUGGAAAAUGCAUAAAUCUAUGUCACACGGAAGACAAAGAAGCCUGAACACAAAGAAUCCUGAGAAAGUCUGUUCUGAAUGUUCCAGUCCAAUUUAUUUUCUGAUCUCUGUAUGACUCAACUCUGGGCCAUGCCAGUCUUAGACUCAGUCAAAUGCUGGAAAAGCUUCUUCUGGACUAAAGCACUUCAAUGACAUCUGUAAAAAAGAACUACAUUAGAAGACCUUUAUGUUCUGUAAACUGCAAUGAAAGCGGAAUUAUUUUCAACUUACUGUAUCUACUUUGAUGGUGGGUUGGAGUGUCACAUACCAUUUUAACCUAACACGGCAAUUUGUAUUCAGCACUGUGCUAAGUGUACUAGGGUCAGAGAAUACCUGAAAAUGCUAUUUUCAAGGAGUCUGCACCCUGGGGUGACAAUGCUACAAAGUGAAAAUAUGACAAACAAUAAAAAUAGUAAAAAUGCUCAAUUGUACAGUUUGGGAGAGCUACAGGCAUACUAGGCUAUAAGAGUCACAAAAAGGUUCAUAAGAAAAAAAAACAGACUGACUUAUAUCAUUAGGCACAGUUGCAGCAUAAUUUCCCUACUAUUGGCUUUUCUUGCCCCCACACCACCAUCUCAUCUUUAUUUUGCAUUGUCUACAUAAUUUAACAAAGUGAUAGACACAUAGGAGAUGCUCCAUGAGUGAUUGUAGCAUGGAUAGUGAUCAGGAGCACCUGAUGUAUGUGUCUAUUUGAGGGUUAAACAUUUUUCUACCAAUAAAAUAAUUGUGCAUUUUCUCAUAUCUCCAACAGUCAAUAAAAUGUAAUCAUAAUUAUGACUGUGUUCUCAAUCUGUGGUCUAACAGUGUUUGUGAUAUAUUCUACCAAUGCUCCUCCAAACUCAGAUGCAAUCUUAGUAAUAAACACUAUAAGUACCAAUGAUUAAUUAGGAAGAUUAAAGAAAUAUUAUCUCUUCAGAAAAAUUCUAUCUAAUUUCGGAUAGAAAUCCUCUUAAAAAUGCUAUUUCUCUUCAUGGAAAUAUUUCUCUACUUGGAAGAUUCUAAUUAACAUUAACAAACAGACUCUGUAUCACUUUGUUAUGAUGAAAACAGGGCAAAAAUACAUUUUUUUCUUUUUUACAGAAAAGGGAUGGGCGUGCUUUCCUUGUUGUUACCAUGAUGGAAAUGUGUCUGGUAUUCCUGUUUGUGUGCUAAGCUUAACAUAUUUCAAUGUUAUCUGGAAUUGGGUGAUCCUUCAACACUGUGUGAUAAGCCCAUUCUGUUUGUGCAUGUAAGCAUGUUAAAGAAAUGACUAAUAUAAAUCAAUGGAGAAUGAAUUAAACAAUAACAUAGCAGGUAAGCUAGUCAUUUAAAUUCCCUAGAAUAGUUCCCAGUGAAUUGUCCAUCAUUCACUGUUCUUUGCAGUUUAAGUGAAAUAUUACAGUAAGCAUCUUCUUUUCAAAGAAUAUCAAUUUUCCUUUACAAACAUAUUUUAUUUUAAGAAGAGCAAUAGUUUGUGAUAUAUGAAUAAUAAAA